rnacentral:rRNA from 1 species
GGGCCCGCACAAGCGGUGGAGCAUGUGGUUUAAUUCGAAGCAACGCGAAGAACCUUACCAGGUCUUGACAUACUCGUGCUAUUCCUAGAGAUAGAAGUGUUCUCUUCGGAGACAAAGUGACAGGUGGUGCAUGGUCGUCGUCAGCUCGUGUCGUGAGAUGUUGGGUUAAGUCCCGCAACGAGCGCAACCCUUAUUGUUAGUUGCCAGCAUUCAGAUGGGCACUCUAGCGAGACUGCCGGUGACAAACCGGAGGAAGGCGGGG